ACCGAUUGAAUGGCUCAGUGAGGCGUCCGGACUGGCCCAGAGAGGUGGGCAACUACCACUCAGGGCCGGAAAGCUCUCCAAACUCGGUCAUUUAGAGGAAGUAAAAGUCGUAACAAGGUCUCCGUUGGUGAACCAGCGGAGGGAUCAUU
rnacentral:rRNA from 1 species